ACGCAUUGUAAAUUUUAAUGUACUUAUAGUUGGAGAUAUGCGUAUUAAUUUAUUGUUUAACAUAUCACAGUUACCAAAAGAAGAUGAAGACAGCUUUAUUAUUCGAACUGAUACUUCCAUUAGCUCUCAGCCAAGCUUUUCCAAACACUGACGAUGCCUCUUCGGUCAAUUUAAUAACCGUCAAUGAAAUAACCGAACCCAUUAAGCCUUGUAUUGACAAAAAACGAGCUUGGACUGGUGGUUCUGGCAGAAAAUCCGGUGUUCUUCCAUUUCCUUUUGGAAAUAACGAUGCAUUGGGGCAGGGUGAUGUUGGACAGUUCUUGGUCGGUGGCAUUCAGAAUCCCAUGUACAUACCACCAUAUUAUAUGCACAGAGACAUCCGAAAGUUUCCGAAUAUUCAAAUAAAUACAGCGCCAGUUUCUAAUGGUUAUAGCAUGAUGCAUGGGAUUCAAGAUAUUCCGAUGGACGUGGUUGAUCGAGUGAGAGGGAAUCUAUCUCCUGCUAAUGGAGGUGGUCGGUUAAGAUUUGGUCCUGUGGGUUUUAUGUUAGAUCAUCGUUUUGGGUAAAAAUUGCUACUGUUUAUCACAAAUCAUGAUUGAGAUUACAGGAAGAGAUCAUAUUCUUAUUUAAAUCUGUAAUUUACUAGACAACUUUGGGAAUUUAUUGUAAAUAUAUUGCAUCA